rnacentral:rRNA from 1 species
UACGGAGGGUGCAAGCGUUAUCCGGAUUUACUGGGUUUAAAGGGUGCGUAGGCGGGCAGGUAAGUCAGUGGUGAAAUCCUCCGAGCUUAACUUGGAAACUGCCAUUGAUACUAUCUGUCUUGAAUAUUGUGGAGGUGAGCGGAAUAUGUCAUGUAGCGGUGAAAUGCUUAGGUAUGACAUAGAACACCAAUUGCGAAGGCAGCUCGCUACACAUAUAUUGACGCUGAGGCACGAAAGCGUGGGGAUCAAACAGG